GCCGUGUUUGUCUUUUCAUGAAUCUGAACGGAAGCAUCAGCCAGGACAUCACACAUAUUAGCAUUACCGCUGUUUGCCUUUACAGCAGGAAGUGAUGGUUCACCAUCACAAGAGUUUUUUGCGCAUCUUUCAUUCGUGUUAGACGGAGGAGAGGUAUCAUAUUGGCUUGGAGGUUCUGGUAAUACUUUUCGAUUUGACAAUUUCUCAUUUUUCGCAGGACUGGAUCGACCUGAAUUUAAUUCUUCACAAAACUCGGAGCCUUUUAGAACGUAUUCAGUAGUACGAGCAGGAAGAAUCAAAUCAUCUUCAGAAAGAUCAUGCCACACAAAUCUAUUCUUGUAGCUUCUCUUGCAGGACCAAG
rnacentral:misc_RNA from 1 species